ensembl:snoRNA
GCAUGUUUAGAUUUGAGAUUUGACCCAAACAUGUGGUCCUGUCUCAGUGUACGACAUGCUAGAUCAGCCUGACUCCGAACCAUUGACGGGUCCAAAACAGUGGACCUGAUCACUGAAGCGAGUCAGACAUGG